AUGAAGUCUGACUCACAUGGAGCUGCUUUUAUUUCAUUCCUGGAGCUGAAACAGUUUUGAGGCAGGCUGCACUCACAGCUCAGUCUUUUGCCUACAUUGACCCCAAGGCAUUCAUUCACUGGGAGAAGAUGUACGCUGAUGGUGCGUCCACAUGCACAGACAGUUCACCACUGAGGGAAUGUCACACUGACUCUGCGGAGCUGAAGAAGAAAGACGUCCUUCAUCAGACACUCGACCUGGAACAAUAAAGUUUCAUACAGGAGCAGCUGCUGUCAGACACCCUGAACAGUUUGAACACAGAACACAGCAG